GAAAGUGGACGUAUAGGGUGUGACGCCUGCCCGGUGCCGGAAGGUUAAUUGAUGGGGUUAGCGCAAGCGAAGCUCUUGAUCGAAGCCCCGGUAAACGGCGGCCGUAACUAUAACGGUCCUAAGGUAGCGAAAUUCCUUGUCGGGUAAGUUCCGACCUGCACGAAUGGCGUAACGAUGGCGGCGCUGUCUCCACCCGAGACUCAGUGAAAUUGAAAUCGCUGUGAAGAUGCAGUGUAUCCGCGGCUAGACGGAAAGACCCCGUGAACCUUUACUGUAGCUUUGCACUGGACUUUGAGCCUGCUUGUGUAGGAUAGGUGGGAGGCUUUGAAGCGUGGACGCCAGUCUGCGUGGAGCCAUCCUUGAAAUACCACCCUGGCAUGCUUGAGGUUCUAACUCUGGUCCGUUAUCCGGAUCGAGGACAGUGUAUGGUGGGCAGUUUGACUGGGGCGGUCUCCUCCUAAAGAGUAACGGAGGAGUACGAAGGUGCGCUCAGACCGGUCGGAAAUCGGUCGUAGAGUAUAAAGGCAAAAGCGCGCUUGACUGCGAGACAGACACGUCGAGCAGGUACGAAAGUAGGUCUUAGUGAUCCGGUGGUUCUGUAUGGAAGGGCCAUCGCUCAACGGAUAAAAGGUACUCCGGGGAUAACAGGCUGAUACCGCCCAAGAGUUCAUAUCGACGGCGGUGUUUGGCACCUCGAUGUCGGCUCAUCACAUCCUGGGGCUGAAGCCGGUCCCAAGGGUAUGGCUGUUCGCCAUUUAAAGUGGUACGCGAGCUGGGUUUAGAACGUCGUGAGACAGUUCGGUCCCUAUCUGCCGUGGACGUUUGAGAUUUGAGAGGGGCUGCUCCUAGUACGAGAGGACCGGAGUGGACGAACCUCUGGUGUUCCGGUUGUCACGCCAGUGGCAUUGCCGGGUAGCUAUGUUCGGAAGAGAUAACCGCUGAAAGCAUCUAAGCGGGAAACUCGCCUCAAGAUGAGAUCUCACUGGAGCCUUGAGCUCCCUGAAGGGCCGUCGAAGACUACGACGUUGAUAGGUUGGGUGUGUAAGCGCUGUGAGGCGUUGAGCUAACCAAUACUAAUUGCCCGUGAGGCUUGACCAU
rnacentral:rRNA from 1 species